rnacentral:tRNA from 1 species
GGCCCCAUCGUCUAGAGGCCCAGGACACCGCCCUUUCAAGGCGGAGACACGGGUUCGAAUCCCGUUGGGGCUACCA